rnacentral:rRNA from 4 species
CCUGGUGGUAAUGGCAGGGGGUCCCCACCGGAUCCCAUCCCGAACUCCGUCGUUAAGCCCCCUUGCGCCGAUGGUACUACGUCUUAAGGCGUGGGAGAGUAGGUCGCUGCCGGGU